GGCCGCCUUCACCCAGCAACCACUGUGGUGAUUGGUGAUUGGCUGCAAUCAUCAGCUUGCAGAAUCUUGGAUCACCUGGAAACGGAUACUCAGUAAGGGAGUGUCUCCUGGCGGUUGGCCUUUGGGGAUGCCUAUGAGGAAUUUCCUGAUUGGGUUAAUUGAGUUGUAAACCCACCUUGAAUGUGGCUGGCACCAUUUCAUGAGCUGGGCCUCUAGAGCAAUGGUUCUCAGCCUUCCUAAUGCUGUGACCCUUUCAUACAGUUCCUUAUGUUGCGGUGACCCCCAACUAUAAAAUUAUUUUGUUCCCUACUUCAUAACUGUAAUUUUGCUACUGUUAUGAAUCAUAAUGUAAAUAUCUGAUACUCAGGACAGCUGGUAUGUGGCCCCUGUUGAGAAACACUGCUCUAGACUGAGAGGGACAGAGAGCCCAGGGCACAGGCAUUCAGUGGUCUGCUUCUAGACAAUGGGCACACUUUGACCAGUUGUCUCAAGCUCUGACUUCCUGGAAAUGAUGGACUGGGACUCGGAAUUGUGGGGUAAAAUAAGCUCUUGCUUCCUUAAGUUGAUUUGGUUGAGAUAUUUUGUCACAGGUUAGGAAUAGUUCUGAGAUCACAAAAAAGAGACCGCCAUUAUAAUUGUGAGGGUUUGUAUAUGCUCAGCCCAGGGAGUGGCACUAUUAGAAGGUUUGGCCUCCUUGGAGUAGGUGUGGCCUUGUUGGAGUAGGUGUGACCUUGUUGGAGUAGGUGUAUCACUGUUGGUGUGGGCUAUAAGACCCUCAUCCUAACUGCCUGGAAGUCAGUCUUCCACUAGCCGACUUCAGAUGAAGAUGUAGAACUCUCAGCUCCCCCUGCACCACGCCUGCCUGGAUGCUGUCGUUUUCCUGCUUUGAUGAUAAUGGACUGAACCUCUCACCCUGUAAGCCAUCCCCAAUUAAAUGUUGUCCUUAUAAG
rnacentral:lncRNA from 1 species